CACUGCCGAGAAAAGCCUCUAGAUAGAAAAUAGGUGCCCGUACCGCAAACCGACACAGGUAGUCAAGAUGAGAAUUCUAAGGUGAGCGAGCGAACUCUCGUUAAGGAACUCGGCAAAAUGACCCCGUAACUUCGGGAGAAGGGGUGCUCUUUAGGGUUAACGCCCAGAAGAGCCGCAGUGAAUAGGCCCAAGCGACUGUUUAUCAAAAACACAGGUCUCUGCUAAACCGUAAGGUGAUGUAUAGGGGCUGACGCCUGCCCGGUGCUGGAAGGUUAAGAGGAGUGGUUAGCUUCUGCGAAGCUACGAAUCGAAGCCCCAGUAAACGGCGGCCGUAACUAUAACGGUCCUAAGGUAGCGAAAUUCCUUGUCGGGUAAGUUCCGACCCGCACGAAAGGCGUAACGAUUUGGGCACUGUCUCAACGAGAGACUCGGUGAAAUCAUAGUACCUGUGAAGAUGCAGGUUACCCGCGACAGGACGGAAAGACCCCGUGGAGCUUUACUGUAGCCUGAUAUUGAAAUUCGGCACAGCUUGUACAGGAUAGGUAGGAGCCUUUGAAACGUGAGCGCUAGCUUACGUGGAGGCGCUGGUGGGAUACUACCCUAGCUGUGUUGGCUUUCUAACCCGCACCACUUAUCGUGGUGGGAGACAGUGUCAGGCGGGCAGUUUGACUGGGGCGGUCGCCUCCUAAAAGGUAACGGAGGCGCUCAAAGGUUCCCUCAGAAUGGUUGGAAAUCAUUCAUAGAGUGUAAAGGCAUAAGGGAGCUUGACUGCGAGACCUACAAGUCGAGCAGGGUCGAAAGACGGACUUAGUGAUCCGGUGGUUCCGCAUGGAAGGGCCAUCGCUCAACGGAUAAAAGCUACCCCGGGGAUAACAGGCUUAUCUCCCCCAAGAGUUCACAUCGACGGGGAGGUUUGGCACCUCGAUGUCGGCUCAUCGCAUCCUGGGGCUGUAGUCGGUCCCAAGGGUUGGGCUGUUCGCCCAUUAAAGCGGUACGCGAGCUGGGUUCAGAAC
rnacentral:rRNA from 1 species